UACGUAGGGGGCUAGCGUUGUCCGGAAUUACUGGGCGUAAAGAGCUCGUAGGUGGUUUGUCGCGUUGUCCGUGAAAACUCACAACUCAAUUGUGGGCGUGCGGGCGAUACGGGCAGACUGGAGUACUGCAGGGGAGACUGGAAUUCCUGGUGUAGCGGUGGAAUGCGCAGAUAUCAGGAGGAACACCGGUGGCGAAGGCGGGUCUCUGGGCAGUAACUGACGCUGAGGAGCGAAAGCAUGGGGAGCGAACAGG
rnacentral:rRNA from 1 species